rnacentral:rRNA from 1 species
GACGAACGCUGGCGGCGUGCUUAACACAUGCAAGUCGAACGGUAAGGCCCUUCGGGGUACACGAGUGGCGAACGGGUGAGUAACACGUGGGUGAUCUGCCCUGCACUUCGGGAUAAGCCUGGGAAACUGGGUCUAAUACCGGAUAGGACCACUGCCUGCAUGGGUGGUGGUGGAAAGCUUUUGCGGUGUGGGAUGGGCCCGCGGCCUAUCAGCUUGUUGGUGGGGUGAUGGCCUACCAAGGCGACGACGGGUAGCCGGCCUGAGAGGGUGACCGGCCACACUGGGACUGGGAUACGGCCCAGACUCCUACGGGGGGCAGCAGUGGGGAAUAUUGCACAAUGGGCGCAAGCCUGAUGCAGCGACGCCGCGUGAGGGAUGACGGCCUUCGGGUCGUAAACCUCUUUCAGCACCGACGAAGCGCAAGUGACGGUAGGUGCAGAAGAAGGACCGGCCAACUACGUGCCAGCCGCCGCAGUAA